rnacentral:rRNA from 1 species
ACGGAUGGGCAUGCGGCGCAUUAGCUGGUUGGCGGGGUAACGGCCCACCAAGGCGACGAUGCGUAGGGGUUCUGAGAGGAAGGUCCCCCACACUGGUACUGAGACACGGACCAGACUCCUACGGGAGGCAGCAGUGAGGAAUAUUGGUCAAUGGGCGAGAGCCUGAACCAGCCAAGUCGCGUGAGGGAGUACUGCCCUAUGGGUUGUAAACCUCUUUUGUCGGGGAGCAAAAGCCGGACGUGUCCGGCUGUGAGAGUACCCGAAGAAAAAGCAUCGGCUAACUCCGUGCCAGCAGCCGCGGUAAUACGGAGGAUGCGAGCGUUAUCCGGAUUUAUUGGGUUUAAAGGGUGCGCAGGCGGAUUUUUAAGUCAGCGGUCAAAUCGUGGGGCUCAACCCCAUCCAGCCGUUGAAACUGGGGAUCUAGAGUGUGCGAGAGGUAUGCGGAAUGCGUGGUGUAGCGGUGAAAUGCAUAGAUAUCACGCAGAACCCCGAUUGCGAAGGCAGCAUACCGGUGCACAACUGACGCUCAGGCACGAAAGCGUGGGUAUCGAACAGGAUUAGAUACCCUGGUAGUCCACGCAGUAAACGAUGAAUGCUACCUGUUUGGCCAGAUUGAUGGCUGAGCGGG